AUUGAACGCUGGCGGCAGGCCUAACACAUGCAAGUCGAACGAGUGGCGGACGGGUGAGUAAUGUCUGGGAAACUGCCUGAUGGAUGGGGAUAACUACUGGAAACGGUAGCUAAUACCGCCUACCAUCGGAUGUGCCCAGAUGGGAUUAGCUUGUUGGUGGGGUAACGGCUCACCAAGGCGACGAUCCCUAGCUGGUCUGAGAGGAUGACCGGCCACACUGUAACUGAGACACGGGCCAGACGCCUAAGUGAGGCAGCAGGGGGGAAUAUUGCACAAUGGGUGAAAGCCUGAUGCAGCCAUGCCGCGUGUAUGAAGAAGGCCUUCGGGUUGUAAAGUACUUUUGGUGGGGAGGCGUUACCCGCAGAAGAAGCACCGGCUAACUCCGUGCCAGCAGCCGCGGUAAUAC
rnacentral:rRNA from 1 species